GUUUGAACAGCAGACCUAAGGGUUAUCCCGAAAACCUACACACACACUGGCCCUUGAGGAUACGGCAGCAGAACUCCCACGGCGCCCCCACCACUCUACGGCAGGCCAUCCAGCGCUCUCAGCACAAGACUGUACUCAAAUCACCUGGUUCGUCUCACCUCCAAGACACCCGAUCCUCAGCCUCCUUUCCCCAGAUCUUAUCGUCAUGGAAGAGAGCAGCCUGUUCGAUAUCCAUCUACAAAAGAGUAAAUGGUUUACCA